GAUAUUCACGCCGGUAAUUUGCAUAUUGUCACCUUGGAGGAGGACACGUUUUUUGUUGAAGAAAAUGUCUUCGCCAAUUCUAGCUGAAUUUUACAUCAAAAUCAGUUUUAUUCCAGCAGUUUCCAUAUAAAAAUAGCAAAGAACAUACGAAAGUCAUGGAAGUUGUCAAGAUGUGAGAAAUAUUAUCCACUAUAAACAUCAGGCAGCAUAACUCAAUUGUAUUACACCUGGACAUGAAGAACAAGUCCAUACCACUCUACCAGACACUGGUAAAUUGUGUUAGAAGCUGAGGAAAAAAUAAUGCAAUACUUGCCAAGAUGAUUGACAUGUUGAAGAAAUGAGACUUCAAGUACAUCAUGGAAUGGCUUGGUAAAAAAAUGAUAUAUCUGUACUUCUACAGUAUAUACAUGGUACUUUAUAAUGAAAGAUGAGGAGAAAACAAGGAAGAAUAAUGAAACACUAAAGUUUCUACUUUGAUGACCAGAUACAGGUGUAUCUACCUGAUGAUAUGCACUGUGACUUGGUUAAUUCUAAGAGACUGUGUUGAAAAUGAUAAAGAAUUACCAUGAAGAGAUAUGUACUGUGGCUCAACCUGGUUUAUAAAGAGACUGUUGUGACCUUCUAGGCCAUUUUACCCUUGAUGUCCUACGGAUAUCUACCAGGUGAUAUGUACUGUGGCUUUACCUGGUUUAUUACACCAUAAGGUCUGGGCUUAACUCAUAUGUUGCUCUAGCCAUGAAAGCUCAAGUAGCUUUCAGCUAGAUGUAUUGUGAAUCUAAAGCCCUGCUCAGAGGAUUGGAGGAGAUGGAGGUGGAAUCAUUAGCUUGUCUGCAAUAGCAUUCCCUGUUUGUGAUAAUGAAAUACAGAAACAAGCAUGAGAUACUCUUGAGUGACAAACAAAUAAAACAAGAAAAUGUCAUGAUAAAGAAAGAUUCCACCCCAGCAAUGUUGAGAUGACAUGCAGCCAAGAAGAUAGAGAAGAAACAAGAAACCAUAAAUAACAGGAAAAAGGAUAAAGCAAAACUUAAAGAUUUGCUAGAAAAAAAGAAAAAAAAAAAAAAAAAAAA